CAGAAGGUAGAGCUUCCCAACUGACUAAAGACUCAGGUCCUGCAGGGCCGUGUAGAACUUGUGGCCAUCCCUGAGCACCCUGCCACCAGGAAGCUGAAAAGAAGGCCCAGGUGCUCCCUCCUUUGGAAUUGGUGGGAAAUUUAAACCCCACAAGCCUCUACCCCUGUGCAAAAGCCUUCACCCCAGCCUCAUCUCUACCCACAAUAAACGCCAAGCCAGUCUCUCUUCUCUGGAUUCUAAAGCUAUUUUUGGAUCAUUAUGUAAGCAAUAAACCUUUCCAUACUUUC
rnacentral:lncRNA from 10 species